UACGUAGGGGGCAAGCGUUGUCCGGAAUUAUUGGGCGUAAAGAGCUCGUAGGCGGCUUGUCGCGUCGGCUGUGAAAACCUAGGGCUCAACCCUGGGCCUGCAGCCGAUACGGGCAAGCUAGAAUUCGGUAGGGGAGACUGGAAUUCCUGGUGUAGCGGUGAAAUGCGCAGAUAUCAGGAGGAACACCGGUGGCGAAGGCGGGUCUCUGGGCCGAUAUUGACGCUGAGGAGCGAAAGCGUGGGGAGCGAACAGG
rnacentral:rRNA from 1 species